UCAUGUUUGCAAACCCAAUCACGUAAUCAUGUUUUUAAAAAACAAAUGGAUAAAAAAGUAGAAGAAGAGCUCAAUGAAAUUUUUUAAAAAACAUACUUUAGCAUCCAUGAGGAGCAUGUCAAUAAAGUUAGGUUGAUUAAGAUCUUUGGCGUUGGGGACCCUCCAUAGGCGUAUUAUCCUGACAGCUCUCUUCAAAGCAUUUCCGUCAGAGGUAACCUUGAUUCUAGAGAUAGAUUCGACCUUAGAAAAAAUUUCAUUCACUGAGUUAUUUGUUAUAUGCAGCAAAACAGAGAAGAUUUUAUUUCCAAUUUGCAAGCAAAACAUGUUUGGUGACUUCUAGACACACACCAUAAACAUGCCAUUGAUUUCAAUUAAAACUAGUUUAUGGUUAGGGAAAAAAGUGUACUCAGAGGGGAGGUGUCCAUUGAUGCCCCUGUUCGUUUAUCAGAGAAAAAGAAAAAUAGAAAUAAAUGGAUCAUACAAUAACAAAAUGAUCUGAAGAGGUACAUACAUUGUUAGAGUCCCAAAUUGGCUAGAGAUGUGACAAAUCAACCACUUAUAAAUGGUAGUGCAAACCUCAACUCUUGAGCUAGCUUUUGGGUUGAGUUAGGCCUCCUAAUAUUGUAUCAGAGUCUAAUCCUAGAUCCAUUGGUUGACUCCCCAACCCUGGGCGUGAGGGUGUGUGUGUUAGAAUACCACAUUGGCUAGAGAUGUGGCCAAUCAAACAUUUAUAAAUUUGUAAUCAAGUUUCUAAAUGUAAAGUUUUUUCUUUUUUUGAAACUUAAGUUUCUAAACUUGUUGAUUUUAUAGGUGAUGAAAAAUUUCUUAUAACCAAUGGUUCCAUGUAGUGACACUUUUCAUAAAAUGACACUUUUCACCAUAAAAUGAAAUUGAAAAAACCAUAAAAUGACACUUUUCAUCAUAUUUAAAAAUAAGAAAGUGACACUUGAAGUUAAAUUUUGCACGAAUCUGAUUUACUAGAAUUUGAAGAACCGGACAGGCCGGUCUGAUCGAGAACCGGUGCAUAUGCCGGUUUGGACCUUAUAAAUAAUCGGAACUCAUCGAAAUAGGUGAAAUCAGUCAAGAACCGGCGAAACUGGUAAAAAUCAGAGGUUUGACGGCUUGAACCGGUUCAAGCGAUGUGGUGCGGCCACCGUGAAACACCACUGUACGAGCUCUCUCCGAUCAUCUUCCUCAUAAGGUAAAAUGGGAAUAUCAAACACAAACUACAACUCAAAAUAGUUAUUCAACUUAGAUAUUCCAGCUGUUUAAGACCUUCAGAGAAGGUAUCUCAUAAAAAAUCCUAAUGGAACUUCUGCUGCAUUGGCUCAAAUACCGGCAUAAAUAAUGUACUCUUUGUAAAAUGAUUUGUUGAAUGACUCAGUUUACAAGAUAAUUGGUUAACAACAUCAAAAAUUUCCAGCGAAGAACAACCAUUCACGAGGGUGUUGAAGACGGUUCAGAUUUUAAAUUCUGAAGUUUAAAGGCGGUGAGAAAAAAAGGAAAACGCUUGGACGUUAAUAGCAGAUAAGUUCGACCAUGGCGUCAUAAAAAUCGAGGGAUCCAGCUUUUUCUACAGUCAGGAAAGAAAAUAAAGAAAACCCUCAUCAAAUUUAAUUCAAUCACAAAUUAAGCAAAAAAAUGAAUGAAAUAAAGAAAAAGAGUGUGGCAAUAUGACUUGAAGUUCAUCUUUUGAGAUACAACAUGAGCUGCAUUUCAGAGGAUCCCACAGUAGCAUAUGUUUUCCUCUCAUCAGUGAGCACCCAUGACUCUCACUUAAUUUCCUGACCAUAAAAUACCACACAUUUCAACACCGAAUUUUCAAUUUACAAUUGAGACUACCUCAAGAAGAUGAUGAGAUACCGUUUACCCACUUCAGCAUCGACAUAUUUGCAACAGAUAAGAAUGGAGAACGCAUGGAAGGAAGAAGCAUGGAGAAAUUAAGAAGACAAAUUGAAAUGUUGGUGGAAUAGAG